AGUGUCUCCACGCUUGCACUUGGAUACGCGAAGCAGGACGUUUUCACUUAUCCGCGACUCGCAGGAUCCCCGCGGUCUCCCUGAAACCCGCCAAACGUCCGCACGAACAAAUUCUCCUAUCGGAUGUGUACGGUCCAUUCUGCCUCUAGACCGGCUUCUGCUUUCAAGAUGCAUCCUCUUCAUUCUAAGGUGUAAAUAGGAGAGAUUGAAUCACUGGAAGACAGGCACUUUCAGGCAAAGUUCGGUGUCUGUUCAACAUCAGACAGAAGCCCUGCAGCUGUCUGCAGAAAUAUUACAGCUUGAGCUCGCACAAGCUCCCUCUGGCCAUCUCUUCAGUUGGGGCUUGCUGAAGAAAGUGGGCUGUGCUCUCUCAAACAUUGGGAUUG